CCGAGAUGGUGGCAGUUCUGGCUCAGCCCCGCUGUGGGCUCUUCCGAUACCUGUUCUUCUCCCUCUGGGCCCUGCAGCGUGGUCUAGUAGCCAGUGAUUCUACUGUGAAAGUGACCCAACAACCAUCACUUGCCAGCAAACGGCAGAAUGACAACCUGGAGCUGAACUGCACUGUCAACAAAGAGAACUAUAAUUUCUACUGGUACCACCAACUUCCUGGGCAGACAAAGCUACAAUAUCUUGGGAUUGUCAAAGCCUUUGGUGACAAAUUGGAGGAGAAACCAGAAGGUGAACUGGGGAAUCGGCUGAGUGGCAAACUGGAGGGAAGCACAUUACGUUUGAAACUAACAGGCCUCCAGUCUGCUGACACAGAUCCAGCUUGUGAAGAGAAACCGCCACACCCAUCACCAAGUGCCCAUCUCCUGGGCCCCUUGUGCCAUAAGAACCACAUCACCCUUGUUUGUGUGGCCCAGGGCUUUUCCUAUCCAUGGCCCAUGGAUGUGAAAUGGAAACGUGAUGACCAAGAGGUGCCUCGCCUAGCCGUUGCCACCGACCCAGUCCGCACCCUGCAGGGCAGCUGCAACUUUGGGAUUUCCAGUCGCCUGAGCAUGACAGCUGCAGAGUGGCAGGAGAGCCAUGAGUACUCAUGCCAAGUGGCGCAAGGGGACUUUGCAACGGCCGAAGAUCGGGUGAAAACUGAAUUGAGCCAGCAGUCAACUUCAAGCCUCUCUGAGAUUCAAAUCAGCCUUCACACAGGGCAGCUCAUUUUCCUGCUCCUGGUUGCUAAGAGCUUUGCCUAUGGCACUGCUCUGGGAAUCUACACAGUCUGUAAGAAAACAGGUCUCUAACGGGGCUGUGGAGAGGCUUUAUAUCUUCCUGCUGGCAUUGCCUACUGUAGCAGCAUUAGCUCUCCCUCUGGCCAAGAAACAUCCGUUUACAGCCGGAGGCCAUUCCCCAGGAGGAUCCGUAUGUUUAUGCUCUGAGGUUUUCAUGUCUUUCUUCUCAGCCACUCUUCAAUCUUGAGGGCCUGGAAUGGUCACUUUAAAAACUUUGUGCUAAAUUCUUCUUUCCCUUGAGCAAAUGUCAACCCUCAUUCCCAAACUACCAAUAAAAAGAUCUGUUU